GGUGAGUAACGCGUGGGAAUCUACCCAUCCCUACGGUACAACUCCUGGAAACUGGAGCUAAUACCGUAAACCCCCUUCGGGGGAAAGAUUUAUCGGGGAUGGAUGAGCCCGCGUUGGAUUAGCUAGUUGUGGGGUAAAGGCCUACCACCGCGACCAUCCAUAGCUGGUCUGAAAGGAAGAUCAGCCACAUUGGGACUGACACACGGCCCAAACUCCUACGGGAGGCACCAGUGGGGAAUAUUGGACAAUGGGCGCAAGCCUGAUCCACCCAUGCCGCGAGAGUGAUGAAGGUCUUAAGAUUGUGAAGCUCUUUCACCGCAUAAGAGAAUGACGGUAUCCGAACAAGAAGCCCCGGCUAACUUCGUGCCAGCAGCCGCGGUAAUACGAAGGGGGCUAGCGUUGUUCGGAAUUACUGGGCGUAAAGCGCACGUAGGCGGAUAUUUAAGUCAGGGGUGAAAUCCCAGAGCUCAACUCUGGAACUGCCUUUGAUACUGGGUAUCUUGAGUAUGGAAGAGGUAAGUGGAAUUGCGAGUCUAGAGGUGAAGUUCGUAGAUAUUGGCACAAACACGAGUGGCGAAGGCGUCUUAUUGGUCCAUGACUGACGUUGAGGUGAGAGAGCGUGGGGAACAAACUGGGUUAGAUAGCUAGGUCGUCCACUCCGUGAACGAUGAUUGUUAGCCGUGGGCAAGUUUACUUGUCGGUGGCGCAGCUAACGCUUUACACAUUGCGCCUGGGGAGUACGGUCACAAGAUUAAAACUCAAAGGAAUUGAGGGGGGCCCGCACGAGCGGUGGCGCAUGUGUUAUAAUGCGACGCAACGAGCAGCACCUUACCAGCCCGUGACAUGCCGGGAAAGCUACAGAGAUGUAGUGUUCCCUUCGGGGACCGGGACACAGGUGCUGCAUGGCUGUCGUCAGCUCGUGUCGUGAGAUGUUGGGUUAAGUCCCGCAACGAGCGCAACCCUCGCCCUUAGUUGCCAGCAUUCAGUUGGGCACUCUAAGGGGACUGCCGGUGAUAAGCCGAGAGGAAGGUGGGGAUGACGUCAAGUCCUCAUGGCCCUUACGGGCUGGGUUCCACACGUGCUACAAUGGUGGUGACAGUGGGCAGCGAAGGAGCGAUCCCGAGCUAAUCUCCAAAAGCCAUCUCAGUUCGGAUUGCACUCUGCAACUCGAGUGCAUGAAGUUGGAAUCGCUAGUAAUCGCGGAUCAGCACGCCGCGGUGAAUACGUUCCCGGGCCUUGUACACACCGCCCGUCACACCAUGGGAGUUGGU
rnacentral:rRNA from 1 species